rnacentral:rRNA from 1 species
AGAUUGAACGCUGGCGGCAUGCCUUACACAUGCAAGUCGAACGGCAGCACGGGAGCAAUCCUGGUGGCGAGUGGCGAACGGGUGAGUAAUACAUCGGAACGUGCCCAAUCGUGGGGGAUAACGCAGCGAAAGCUGUGCUAAUACCGCAUAAGAUCUACGGAUGAAAGCAGGGGAUCGCAAGACCUUGCGCGAAUGGAGCGGCCGAUGGCAGAUUAGGUAGUUGGUGAGGUAAAGGCUCACCAAGCCUUCGAUCUGUAGCUGGUCUGAGAGGACGACCAGCCACACUGGGACUGAGACACGGCCCAGACUCCUACGGGAGGCAGCAGUGGGGAAUUUUGGAACAA